UUUCCGUAGGUGAACCUGCGGAAGGAUCAUUAGUGAAUUCUUUCUUUGUCGAAGUAGGUGCAAGCCAAAAAGACAUCACUAUCCAACACCUGUGAAUAGUUGUAGACUCUUGUCUGCGCUUUUUUUAACCAAACUUUACAAGUCAAUGAUGUAAUUUUAUUAUAACCUAAUAAAACUUUCAACAACGGAUCUCUUGGCUCCCACAUCGAUGAAGAACGCAGC
rnacentral:misc_RNA from 1 species